rnacentral:lncRNA from 1 species
GGAUACACCAGGAGCUCCGGAGAAGCUCUACAGAGAAGUGAACAUCAGGUUGCUGGCUCGCCAUUGAAACUAUUCUUCCCUGAAAGUAAUGUGACAAACAAUGAGGAGAAAUAAAAAUGAUGGUUCUCAAUACAGUUCUUCACAUAUGCCAGUCCUGGGCCAGCAGUAUGACACACUGGAAGGAGAUAUGAGCUUUGAGUCAUGA